rnacentral:rRNA from 1 species
GAUGAACGCUGGCGGCGUGCCUAACACAUGCAAGUCGAGCGAACAGACGAUGAGCUUGUUCCUUGCACGUUAGCGGCGGACGGGUGUGUAACACGUGGAUACCCUCCUUAUAUUUCUGGUAUCAUUUCGAGAAACCGGAUAUAAUACGAGAUAAGAUAUUGCACCACAGUGGGCAAUGGUAAAUUUCGGCUGUUGGGGCUCGUAUAGCGGGUUCCGCGCCGGAUGAGAUAGUUGGUACGGUCACAGCUUACCAAGGCGACGAUGCGUAGCCGAGCUGAGGGGGUGGUCGGCCACCCUGGAACUGAGCCACGGUCCAGACUACUGCGGGAGGCAGCAGUCGGGAAUGUUACGCAAUGGGCGAAAGCCUGACACAGCAACGGCGCGUGAGUGAUGACGGCCUUCGGAUCGUAAAGCUCUGUUAUUAGGGAAGAACAAAUGUGUCAGUAGAUGUAGACGUCUUGACGGUAACUAAUCAGAAAGCACCGGCUAACUACGUG